UACGGAGGAUCCAAGCGUUAUCCGGAUUUAUUGGGUUUAAAGGGUGCGUAGGCGGCCUAUUAAGUCAGGGGUGAAAGACGGUAGCUUAACUAUCGCAGUGCCCUUGAUACUGGUGGGCUUGAAUAUACUAGAGGUAGGCGGAAUGUGACAAGUAGCGGUGAAAUGCAUAGAUAUGUCACAGAACACCAAUUGCGAAGGCAGCUUACUAUGGUAUUAUUGACGCUGAGGCACGAAAGCGUGGGGAUCAAACAGG
rnacentral:rRNA from 1 species